UAGGGAAUCUUCCGCAAUGGACGAAAGUCUGACGGAGCAACGCCGCGUGAGUGAAGAAGGAUUUCGGUUCGUAAAACUCUGUUGUUAGGGAAGAAAAAAUGUAUAGUAACUAUAUACAAAAGAGACGGUACCUAACCAGAAAGCCACGGCUAACUACGUGCCAGCAGCCGCGGUAAUACGUAGGUGGCAAGCGUUGUCCGGAAUUAUUGGGCGUAAAGCGCGCGCAGGUGGUUUAGAAAGUCUGAUGUGAAAGCCUACGGCUCAACCGUGGAGGGUCAUUGGAAACUAAUAAACUUGAGUGCAGGAGAGAAAAGUGGAAUUCCUAGUGUAGCGGUGAAAUGCGUAGAGAUUAGGAGGAACACCGGUGGCGAAAGCGGCUUUUUGGCCUGCAACUGACACUGAGGCGCGAAAGCGUGGGGAGCAAACAGG
rnacentral:rRNA from 1 species